rnacentral:lncRNA from 1 species
CAGUGGCAGAGCACCACCCACCAUGCACUAGGCCCUGGGUUUCAACCCUAGUACAGAUGGGGUAUGACUGAAGGAAGCCAUAUUCAGGAGUUAACUUACAAUUACUAUCAGAAGAGAACUAUGACAAUGGAAGAAAUAAUAAAGGCUAACUGACUCCAUGUACCCUGGAAGUCAAAGCAUCAUAAUAAUUACGACGGAAUGGGCAGGCACUACAUAAGCAUACAGGCCUCAAACUCGUAGGUGUGCUGCUAGCACAUUUCCCUUCAACAGAGACAUACAAAUGAGCUGACAAAUAUAUCCCCAUGAUUCGAGAAAUAUCUAAGAAGUUGUGCUGGGUUUUUCGUUUGGGCCUCACAGCCGUCGCGGGACGUAGGUACUAUUACCGGGACUUUACCGAUAAGAAGACUGAAGCCCAAAGGGUUCAGGAAAGAGAUCACGAGGCCACACAACUCACAACCCUAAUAACCGAGCCCUGCAUCGCUGCCUGAAUGGAGACACCACCUUAAAGAGUUCCCUGCAAGCUCACAAGUGGCCCGAGCGCUUCCGGAGGGACAACGUCCUGAGCAAAUCAAAGCCCACUACAGAACCUGGGUCCCUAACAUGGGCCGGAGUCCUAGCUGCCUGACGCUGCCUCGGGGACUUCCGCGGACAUGGUGCUCCUUCUGCAGAAGAGACGCCGGGAGAAGACAGAUUACCGGGAGGCAAGACCGCCCGCCACCUUCUGCCUGCCC